AAUUUGAAGUGUUAAAGUGCCACACUGAUGUCUAUCUUCACCAACAUUGAUACUCAAGUUGAAAUGAAAAGGUAGAAGUAAGCAAGUAACUAUCUUAUCCAAUAACAUGGAGAAACCAGAAGAUCUAAUUACUAGAAAUGGAUAGCCAAUAAUGAUGAGGUUACAUGACCAUCCUAAUAUCAUUUUUCAAAUUCAAAACUAAAAUGGUUCAGAAAAUAUUGAAGCAAUAGUAGAUCUAGAAUAUAAAUCACUUGGAUAGUGUUGCAAAAAUGAAAAAAGAUAAUAAGCAUGCAAUCAUAUUGCAUUAAUGUCUAAGCUCUAUAAUUUUUUAUCCUGUCCAAUAACAUGGAGAAACCAGAAGAUCUAAUUACUAGAAAUGGAUAGCCAAUAAUGAUGAGGUUACAUGACCAUCCUAAUAUCAUUUUUCAAAUUCAAAACUAAAAUGGUUCAGAAAAUAUUGAAGCAAUAGUAGAUCUAGAAUAUAAAUCACUUGGAUAGUGUUGCAAAAAUGAAAAAAGAUAAUAAGCAUGCAAUCAUAUUGCAUUAAUGUCUAAGCUCUAUAAUUU
rnacentral:misc_RNA from 1 species